rnacentral:rRNA from 1 species
CCUACGGGUGGCAGCAGUAGGGAAUAUUGCUCAAUGGGGGAAACCCUGAAGCAGCGACGCCGCGUGAGGGAUGAAGGUUUUCGGAUUGUAAAGUCCUUUUGUUAGAGAAGAUAGUUACGAUGUCUACCGACUAAGAAGCGGCUAACUCCUACCCAGCAGCAGCGGUAGUACGGAGGGGGCAAGCGUUGCUCGGAAUAACUGGGUGUAAAGAGCGCGUAGGCGGGAUAGCAAGUCAGAUGUGAAAGGCUGUGGCUGAACCAUAGAACUGCAUUUGAAACUGUUAUGCUGGAGUAUGGGAGAGGUAGGUGGAAUUCUUGGUGUAGGGGUAAAAUCCGUAGAGAUCAAGAGGAAUACUCAUUGCGAAGGCGACUUGCUAGAAUAUAACUGACGCUGAGGCGCGAAAGCGUGGGGAGCAAACAGGAUUAGAUACCCGAGUAGUC